rnacentral:rRNA from 1 species
UUGGGAAUAUUGGACAAUGGGCGAAAGCCUGAUCCAGCAAUGCCGCGUGAGUGAUGAAGGCCCUCGGGUCGUAAAGCUCUUUCAGCGGGAAAGAAGGGAAACUUGACGGUACCCGCAGAAGAAGCACCGGCUAACUCCGUGCCAGCAGCCGCGGUAAUACGGAGGGUGCAAGCGUUGUUCGGAAUCAUUGGGCGUAAAGCGCGUGUAGGCGGUAACCUAAGUCUGGUGUGAAAGCCCGAGGCUUAACCUCGGAAGUGCACUGGAUACUGGGUUACUAGAGGACGGGAGAGGGAAGUGGAAUUCCAGGUGUAGGGGUGAAAUCCGUAGAUAUCUGGAGGAACAUCGGUGGCGAAGGCGACUUCCUGGUCCGUAACUGACGCUGAGACGCGAAAGCGUGGGGAGCAAACAGG